AGGAUUUUAAGUUAUCUAAACUAGAAACCUUCAAAGUUUCCAAUAAAUAUUAUUUUUAAAUCCUA
rnacentral:tRNA from 1 species